AGUGAACGCUGGCGGUAGGCCUAACACAUGCGAGUCGAACGGCAGCACAGUAAGAGCUUGCUCUUACGGGUGGCGAGUGGCGGACGGGUGAGGAAUACAUCGGAAUCUACUUUUUCGUGGGGGAUAACGUAGGGAAACUUACGCUAAUACCGCAUACGACCUACGGGUGAAAGCAGGGGAUCUUCGGACCUUGCGCGAUUGAAUGAGCCGAUGUCGGAUUAGCUAGUUGGCGGGGUAAAGGCCCACCAAGGCGACGAUCCGUAGCUGGUCUGAGAGGAUGAUCAGCCACAUUGGAACUGAGACACGGUCCAGACUCCUACGGGAGGCAGCAGUGGGGAAUAUUGGACAAUGGGCGCAAGCCUGAUCCAGCCAUACCGCGUGGGUGAAGAAGGCCUUCGGGUUGUAAAGCCCUUUUGUUGGGAAAGAAAAGCAGCAGGUUAAUACCCCGCUGUUCUGACGGUACCCAAAGAAUAAGCACCGGCUAACUUCGUG
rnacentral:rRNA from 1 species